rnacentral:misc_RNA from 1 species
GAUGAAGAACGUAGUGAAAUGCGAUACUUGGUGUGAAUUGCAGAAUCCCGUGAACCAUCGAGUCUUUGAACGCAAGUUGCGCCCGAAGCCAUUAGGCCGAGGGCACGCCUGCCUGGGCGUCACACGUCGUUGCCCCCCCAUCUACUCCUUCGGGAUUGCGGGGGGCGGAUGAUGGCCUCCCGUGCGCCUCGCCGCGCGGUUGGCAUAAAUGCCAAGUCCUCGGCGACACACGCCACGACAAUCGGUGGUUGCGAAACCUCGGUUGCCCGUCGUGUGCGGUCGUCGCGCAUCGAGGGCUCGAAAAAAUUGCCGGGUUCCGGCUCGGCUUUCAACGCGACCCCAGGUCAGGCGGGGUUACCCGCUGAAUUUAAGCAUAUCAAUAAGCGGAGGA